rnacentral:rRNA from 1 species
UAGGGAAUCUUCCGCAAUGGGCGAAAGCUUGACGGAGCAACGCCGCGUGAGUGAUGAAGGUCAUCGGAUCGUAAAACUCUGUUAUUAGGGAAGAACAAAUGUGUAAGUAACUAUGCACGUCUUGACGGUACCUAAUCAGAAAGCCACGGCUAACUACGUGCCAGCAGCCGCGGUAAUACGUAGGUGGCAAGCGUUAUCCGGAAUUAUUGGGCGUAAAGCGCGCGUAGGCGGUUUUUUAAGUCUGAUGUGAAAGCCCACGGCUCAACCGUGGAGGGUCAUUGGAAACUGGAAAACUUGAGUGCAGAAGAGGAAAGUGGAAUUCCAUGUGAAGCGGUGAAAUGCGCAGAGAUAUGGAGGAACACCAGUGGCGAAGGCGACUUUCUGGUCUGUAACUGACGCUGAUGUGCGAAAGCGUGGGGAUCAAACAGG